GCUACCAUGCAAGUCGAGCGGUAGAGAGAAGCUUGCUUCUCUUGAGAGCGGCGGACGGGUGAGUAAUGCCUAGGAAUCUGCCUGGUAGUGGGGGAUAACGUUCGGAAACGGACGCUAAUACCGCAUACUUCCUACGGGAGAAAGCAGGGGACCUUCGGGCCUUGCGCUAUCAGAUGAGCCUAGGUCGGAUUAGCUAGUUGGUGAGGUAAUGGCUCACCAAGGCGACGAUCCGUAACUGGUCUGAGAGGAUGAUCAGUCACACUGGAACUGAGACACGGUCCAGACUCCUACGGGAGGCAGCAGUGGGGAAUAUUGGACAAUGGGCGAAAGCCUGAUCCAGCCAUGCCGCGUGUGUGAAGAAGGUCUUCGGAUUGUAAAGCACUUUAAGUUGGGAGGAAGGGUUGUAGAUUAAUACUCUGCAAUUUUGACGUUACCGACAGAAUAAGCACCGGCUAACUCUGUGCCAGCAGCCGCGGUAAUACAGAGGGUGCAAGCGUUAAUCGGAAUUACUGGGCGUAAAGCGCGCGUAGGUGGUUUGUUAAGUUGGAUGUGAAAUCCCCGGGCUCAACCUGGGAACUGCAUUCAAACUGACUGACUAGAGUAUGGUAGAGGGUGGGUG
rnacentral:rRNA from 1 species